rnacentral:lncRNA from 12 species
AUGGAAAAGGUUUGGAAAAGAGAUGGAAAAGGGCUGGAAAAGGAAAUGAGGGAAGUAUACAGGAUACGGGGAGGGAUGGAAAAGGUUUGGAAAAGAGAUGGAAAAGGGCUGGAAAAGGAAAUGAGGGAAGUAUACAGGAUGAACAAAGGGAUGGAAAUGGGAUCGAAAAGGGAGGGAUGGAAAAUGGAUGGAGGGAGGGAUAAAGGGAUGGAAAAGGGAAUGAGGGAAGGAGGGAUGGAAGAGAUGGGAAAAGGGAGAGAAAAGGGAUACAGGGGUGGAAAAGGGGUGGAAGGAGGGAUAAAGGGAGAGAAAAGGGAUGGAAAAGGGAAGGGAAGGAGGGAUGGAAAAGGGAGGGGAAAGGGAGGGGAAAGGGAUAUGGGGAGGGAUAGAAAAGGGAGGGAAAGAGGGGCGGAAAUGGAUGGAGGGAAGGAUACCGGGAUGGAAAAGGGAGGGAAGGAAGGAGAGAAAAGGGAUGGAAAAGAGCUGGAUGGAGGGAUGGAGGGAUGGAGGGAUGGAGGGAGGGUAAAGGGAUGGGAAAAGGGAGGGGAAAGGGCUGGAAACAGAUGGAGGGGUGGAAAAGGGACCCAGGGAGCGAGGGUUCUGCACAGCCCAACACUCGUGGUCCAAGCGGUUUUUCCCGGGAAUCAGGAAUGAGGAAUUUUGGGAACGAGGACCCACAACCCACCCCAAACCCCUUCCAAGCUUUCCCCUUCAUCCAAAAGGCCCUGGGG